rnacentral:rRNA from 1 species
AGGGUUUGAUUAUGGCUCAGGACGAACGCUGGCGGCGCGCCUAACACAUGCAAGUCGAACGGAGUUAUAUUGGCAGAAGUUUUCGGACGGACGCGGAUAUAACUUAGUGGCGAACGGGUGAGUAACACGUGAGCAACCUACCCUUCAGAGGGGGACAACAGUUGGAAACGACUGCUAAUACCGCAUAAGACCACGGUGUGGCAUCACACAGAGGUCAAAGGAGAAAUCCGCUGAAGGAUGGGCUCGCGUCCAAUUAGCUAGAUGGUGAGGUAACGGCCCACCAUGGCGACGAUUGGUAGCCGGACUGAGAGGUUGAUCGGCCACAUUGGGACUGAGACACGGCCCAG